GCUCUUUCAAUCAAAAACUUCACAAAAGAACUCGCUGCUAACCUCAUGGGUAAUGUUAUCUGGUUUUUGUAUGAGGUUGAAUACCCCAAAGUUCAAGUACUCUGAGUAAGUGCCCCCCAUCGAAGAUUAUAUUGAACCCCAAAAACAUCUUCUCCGGCUCUUAUUCCCUCAACGUCAGGUCCAACUUCUAGUACCUCGCCACUGAAAUCGUAUCCCAAAACGAAAGGUGGCGAUGGUAGAUGUGCUCGGGAAGGAAGUCCAUAAGAUGUCUGGAAGCAGAACAGAGUUAACACAACACACCCAAACUAAGCAUCCACGCAUUUUCAGCACUGAACAACCGAACGCCACAUCCAAUGGCUAAGUAUCCAAGCAUUUUCAGCACGUAAUGACCGAACGCCAGAUCUAAUGCCUAAAACAUGCUAAGCAUCCAAGUAUUUUCAGCACUUAACGAUCGGAUUGAUGGAACUCACCGCCAAAUCGAUGGUGUUGAUGGAAACUGCUCGAACGCGAACCAGAACGUCGUAUUCGAAAACAGGUGGGAACUCCACAUUUCGGAGCUCCAACCCCACGGGGCCGCCGAACCGCGACACCAUGACCUGUCUGCAACCGCCGAUGAGCCUCCUGAGAGGCGGAGGAGGCCUCCUAAGCGACGGAGGCAUGCGACGGGGAACGCGCCUGUCGAGCAUUUGAGAGAGACGAAGACGAAGGAGCACUUUCUCCAUGGUUUCGAACUUCUUUUUGCGAUGGUGGUGGAGAACUUCGAAGAAGGAGCCGAAACGAUUUAUAUGCCUUUUUUACGGGGAUCCGAAAUUUUUACCCGAGUAUUUCGGGUUUGUGGGGGUCCGGCAUUUUCGGCAGGAUUUUUAGAUGUAAGUAUUGUUCGGGUCGGGUUUAAGUUAGGUUAUGAUCCUACCCAGAGCACGGCCCGAUUGCCCCGAUCUCCCCCUCUCUCUCUCCGCGAAACCCUAGAUCUGAGCCGAGCUGAUCGGCGACGGACCUGAGCUCGGCCCGGCGGUGGCAUGAUCUUUUUGAAGAAGGAACCAGUUCUUGGAGUUGAUUUAGAAUCUGCCAUCGAUAAAAUGCCGUUUUCCCAGGCUAAUAGGUUUGUUGGAACUCUUUUUGCUCAACGUGAUGUUUCAGUGUCCUUGUUCCUCGCUGCGAAUGAUCUGAUGUUCCAAACAUCUUAUCGAUCUAAUCUAGUGUUUUUUCGGGGAUCUGGCGGAUGCAAUUAUCAUUUGACUCUUUCUUUAUGCAGAUGGGGAAACGCACCUCUUGACAAAGGUCGAAAGUGUGGAAACAAAAAAAUUCGAUUAAGCUGCCGGAAGCUGCAAAAUCCUCUGAAAUGUCAGAGUUUCAGCACAGCUCUCGGGAAACGGCAGGAUUGGGGGAUCUGUGAUGGACAUGAGGAGCAAAGCAAGGACACUCUCUGGUCCUGUUAAUGAUCCUUCAAAGCUUCCUAAGUGGAACUACGAUGAUCCAGCACAAACCAGGUUCCUGGAGAGGACAGUGAAGUGAUUUUAUACUGAGUUUUUUGCUUUAUCUUCUUCACGAGCAAUUUUUAGCGCUUUGCUUGGUCAUAUGUUGGCAAUUUCGCUUGUUAACUCGUCGAUUAUUGGUGCUUGAAUUGACAUGAUUGUCUUAUUCUUUGGAAAUUUCAUCAAACAGUCCUCCAGAAAUUUUCAAUGAUCUUUUCGGGGGGGCAACAACAUUCUUCGGAGUUUUCUCCCCUUAUCUAUACACGAUGCGAUGCAUCGUUGUCUUUUUUUUUUCCUUGGGUAUUACAUUCAUAGCAUCCUUUAAUUGCCGUCUAAAAUCCUAAUUGGGUUUUAGGUAAUUUGUGAUGCCUACACUCCUGGGGGAGAACCAAUUCCCACAGAUAAGAGGUGUGCUGCUGCCAAGAUCUUCAACCAUCCUAACGUUGUUGCUGAAGAGACCUGCAAGAGUACACCCUAUUGUAGAAGGUGUUAACUGGCCUCUAGGGUGGCCUAUUGGUGGCUAUCCUGGUCCCCAGGGACCUUACUACUAUGGUGUUGGUGCUGAUAAAGCAUUUGGCAGGGAUAUUGUUGACGCUCGUUAUAAGGCUUGCUUGUAUGCUGGUAUUAAGAUCAGUGGUAUUAAUUGGGAAGUGAUGCCUGGCCAGUGGGAAUUCCAAGUUGGUUCAUCUGUGGGAAUUUCAGCUGGAGAUGAAUUGUGGAUCGCCCGUUACAUUUUGGAGAGGAUAAUGGAGAUAGCUGGAGUGGUCCUUUCCUUCGACCCCAAGCCUAUUCAGCAAUAUUUCUUGGGACAAGUUCAAAUCCAGCUGUUGCAGAUGGGGUUUCAGGCAAGUCAAACUCUGAAAAUAAUGCAGAAGCCGCUGAUAUUGUUGGACUCCACAGGAUUGAUGACGGUUCAGUUGUAUCGAAUAUCCAUACGGCCAAGUGGAGAGUAUUCACUGAUAAUGGGAGAGAUUCAUUUCUUCAGGGUAAACUGGAGGAAGCUGAAGAUUCUUCCUUUCUGCACUGCAAGAAGCUAAAGAAGGGUUUGGACAGAGGGACGAGCAUGUGGCAUCCUCAUGCAACAAUCUCGACUACAUCUCUCCUAUUUGGAUACUCAAGGAUUGAACUUAUAUGGGUUUUCUAAGAACAUUUAUUAGAGGAUGUUGGAAUCCCUUAGUUCAAUGCCCCGAAUCAAUGUAAUGUUGUCCCCUUACAACUAUCCCAUCUCUCUUGGUUAGCAUAUCUGGGAACGGUGGAUUGAAUAAAUUGAAUGCAAUUGUUAUAUUGAGUAAUCAAUGACAAGCUAUGUCACUUGUGAAACUGUGGUGCAGAAUAAUAAUCUGUUUGGUUACAAUAUUC